rnacentral:rRNA from 1 species
CCUACGGGUGGCAGCAGUGAGGAAUAUUGGUCAAUGGACGCUAGCCUGAACCAGCCAAGUAGCGUGAAGGAUGACUGCCCUAUGGGUUGUAAACUUCUUUUAUAUGGGAAUAAAAUGCAGUAUGUAUACUGCUUUGCAUGUACCUUAUGAAUAAGGAUCGGCUAACUCCGUGCCAGCAGCCGCGGUAAUACGGAGGGUGCGAGCGUUACUCGGAAUCAUUGGGCGUAAAGGGUGCGUAGGCGGGGUGUUAAGUCAGUUGUGAAAUCUUGCGGCUUAACCGUAAAAUUGCAAUUGAUACGGGCAGUCUGGAGUACAGUUGAGGUAGGCGGAAUUCGUGGUGUAGCGGUGAAAUGCUUAGAGAUCACGAAGAACCCCGAUUGCGAAGGCAGCUUACUAAACUGUGACUGACAUUGAUGCUCGAAAGUGUGGGUAUCAAACAGGAUUAGAUACCCUAGUAGUC